rnacentral:rRNA from 1 species
GACGAACGCUGGCGGCGUGCUUAACACAUGCAAGUCGAACGAUGAAGAAAAGAAUUGAAGCUUCGGCAGAAAUUCAUUUCGGAUUAGUGGCAGACGGGUGAGUAACGCGUGAGCAACCUACCUCUUACAAAGGGAUAGCCUCGGGAAACCGGGAUUAAUACCAUAUAACAUUGCGACGAAGCAUUUCGAUGCAAUCAAAGCUACGGCGGUAAGAGAUGGGCUCGCGUCCCAUUAACCAGAUGGUGAGGUAACGGCUCACCAUAGUAACGAUGGGUAACCGGCCUGAGAGGGUGAACGGUCACACUGGAACUGAGACUCGGUCCAGACUCCUACGGGAGGCAGCAGUGGGGAAUAUUGCACAAUGGAGGGAACUCUGAUGCAGCGACGCCGCGUGAGUGAUGAAGGAAUUCGUUUCGUAAAACUCUGUUCUAUGGGAAGAAAAGGACUGUACCAUAGGAGAAAGCUCCGGCUAAAUACGUG